rnacentral:lncRNA from 1 species
CCCACCCUCUUAUGUCCCCAGUAUGGCACUCUUUUGUGAACUGCUAUGAAGAAUCUCUGUUAGAGGCCAAAGGCUUUGAUCAUUAGGUAAAGAUGAUGGUUUUAAAUUAUGCUUUUCACUCCCAUUGCCUUGUAGACUUUCACAGCUAUUGUUUCCAGUGUAUUUCAGCUGAGUUUCACCCUCAAAACACAGGUGUAUGUUGAACUAUCUUCUUCUUGUGAAUCUUUUGACCAAUCAAUAAAAUAAGACCACGUAAAUAAUGGAUAUGCUACUGGAUAACAUGGUUGCAAGUUUGAAAAACAGACCACUCUACUCAGGAGCUGUUUUGGUGGUGGAGAUGGAAAAGCAGAUCCAGAUAGAAGUAAACAAAAGAACUCUGAAAGGCAGGGAGUUAUAAGAUGGAUGGUUAUUCAGCCAGAGGGGAGAUGGAGUCAUGCCUCUCCUACUUAGGGCUGGGUCCAGGUACUGUUUUGUUUUUUAAUUCCUUUGCAACAUGAAGAUUUAUUUGGUCCACUUGUGGCACCUCCAAUUGGUUAGUUAACUGACUAUAGGAUGACCAUAAAAGAUAGCCAUUAAACUGUGGUUCUAAAGAUUUCUGCGUGGAGGGUCAGGGUUUCAAUAGAGGGCAGAGGACAAGAUUCAGCACCACCUUAUAGUAGAAAGAGCAAAGGUAACUACGAUAAACACCACAGACUAAUGGUCAGAGCUUUCCUGUUUUCUGAGUAUAACAUGAGCUUCCUGGAUAUUCAUUCGACUGACACUAGGCAAAGUUAAAAGUUCUCCCAAAGUUGAUUGAGGCUGAUUUUCUUGCUGCUGUGUUUAGCGAGAGCUCUGAAGAAGUUAUAAUAUUAACAUGAUUAAGAACAAAUCAUGUGGUGUUUUUCACUAGAUUAUUAUGAAGUCCAUGUAUGACCACUACACAUUUAUAAAUUCUAAUUUCUCUUGCUUCCACCAUUUCCACGAGGAUUGUUGCUUUCUCAUGUUGUUAUACCUAGAUCCCUGCACAUAUGUUUAUUGAUCAAAUGAAUAAAUCAUGGGAUAUAGAGCAAAUGGG